GUUUCACGAAAUUAAGCUGUCUCUUCUAUAUUUAAUAUAAUUUAAUCUUAAAGUUAAAAAGCUUUAAUUAAAUAAAAAGACAAAAAGACCCCGUAGAGUUUUAUUUUCAUCAUUUAAAAAAAUUUAAUGAAAAUUUUGUUGGGGCAACUAAGAAAAAAUAAAUUUUUCUAAACAAACAAUAACUAUACACUAUCAUUUACUUAAUAAAACAAAAUAAAUUACCUCGGGGAUAACAGCGUAAUUUUCUUUGAGAGUCCAAAUCGAAAAGAAAAAUUAC
rnacentral:rRNA from 1 species